UGGGGAAUAUUGGACAAUGGGCGAAAGCCUGAUCCAGCCAUGCCGCGUGUGUGAAGAAGGUCUUCGGAUUGUAAAGCACUUUAAGUUGGGAGGAAGGGUUGUAGAUUAAUACUCUGCAAUUUUGACGUUACCGACAGAAUAAGCACCGGCUAACUCUGUGCCAGCAGCCGCGGUAAUACAGAGGGUGCAAGCGUUAAUCGGAAUUACUGGGCGUAAAGCGCGCGUAGGUGGUUUGUUAAGUUGGAUGUGAAAGCCCCGGGCUCAACCUGGGAACUGCAUCCAAAACUGGCAAGCUAGAGUACGGUAGAGGGUGGUGGAAUUUCCUGUGUAGCGGUGAAAUGCGUAGAAAUAGGAAGGAACACCAGUGGCGAAGGCGACCACCUAGACUGAUACUGACACUGAGGUGCGAAAGCGUGGGGAGCAAACA
rnacentral:rRNA from 1 species